AUUUUGCUACUUUUUUUCAUCUUCCCACUUUGUGCUAUUUCAACCUUUCAAACUUUAUAGUAAUGCACUCCUUCAGUGUCAUUUAUUACAUAGGUGUUGUGUUACACAGAGGAGGGCCUAAGAUUUUAAAAUUUUGUAAGGGUUGUGGCCACCCGAUUUGUCCCGGAAACACGUUUUGUACUUAGUAACCUUUAUUUAACCAGGAAAUAAACCCAUUGAGAUUCAGAAUCUCUUUUACAAGGGAGUCCUGGCCAGGAUAGCAGCACAAGAAGUUCCACAUUAAAAAAAAAAAAAAAAAAAACACGCAGAAAAACAAAACAGUUACAGUAUGCAAACACAACAAUAAAUCAGCGUUCAGUAAGAGGACGUGCAUUCAGGACUCAAAAACUCCUUAAUUCUAGUUUUAAAAUGUUCCACACUUGGCAGAUAAUCCAAUUUAAAAUAACCCUGUAAAUUACACCAGGAGGAGGGUGCAAAAGCCUUGAAAGCGCUUUCGCCAAAAACCGUCCUUGUCUGAGGAAUAGCGUACAUGAUCUGUCCAUCAGACCGGAGAUUACUCCUGUUGGUGAUUUUGGGAGUUAAGAGGGAACAUAGGUAAGAGGGCAAGUCACCUAGAAUGGCCUUGUAAAGAAAGAUAUACCAAUGUUCCAAUCUACGAUUUUGCAGAGAGGACCAACCAACACUCUCAUAUAAGCUGCAGUGAUGAGUACGAAAAUCUAAGCCAGUUACAAAUCUUCAUGCUGCAUGAUACACUGAGUCCAGUAUUUUUAAAGAAGAGAGAUUUGUAUGCAUGUAUAAAAGUCCCCAUAAUCAAGUAUGGAUAAAAACGUUGCCUGUAUAAGCCUUUUUCUUGCACCAAAGGAGAAACAACCCUUGUUUCUAUAGAAGAAACCCAGUUUCACCCAGAGUUUCUUUGUAAGACACUCAAUAUGGUGCCUAAAGGACAAAUUUUCUUUCAAGUGAAAUCCCAGGUAUUUGUAGACAGAAACUCUUACAACUAAUUUCUCAUUUAGAGUAACAAUCUGACAGACGUCAUCUGAUUUCAAUGAUUUUGAAAAGCACAUCAUUUUAGUCUUGUCAGUAUUGAGUACAAGUCUUAAUUGAUAGAGAUUUUUUUUUUAUUGGUAUUUUAUAUUUUAUAUUUGUUUUUUAUCUACCUAUGUAUUUUAUAUUUGUUUUUAUUUAUGGUGUAUUUGUACCUCAAUUUUACUUUGCUGUAUUUUAAUCUUGUAUUCUGUGUUUUUGAUUAUAUUGUUUACUGUCUGUUUUAUGUAUUUCGCUGUGUCUUAUUGACCUGUACAGCACUUUGGUCAGCUUCGGUUGUUUUUAAAGUGCUCUAUAAAUAAAGUUUGAGUUGAGUUGAGUUGAGCUAAUGAUGGAGCUGAACAAUACAAAACAGUGUCAUCUGCAUAGAAGUGGAAACUGGCAUCAGUUACAUUUUGACAUAAUGCAUUAAUAUAAAUAGUAAAUAAAAUAGGACCCAGUAUGGACCCCUGAGGGACACCGUUUCGAAUAGACAAGCAGUUGGAACACAGACCAUCAACCUGAACCCUUUGUGUUCUGCCACUCAAGUAGUUACCAAACCAUUUCACCGUAUUAGUAGACAUUCCAAUAUCCUCCAAUCUCUGGGACAAGAUAGAGUGGUCGACCGUGUCAAAAGCCUUUGACAGAUCUAGGAACAAAGCAACACAAUAUUCUUUAGAGUAGGCCUGUCGCGAUAAUCAAUAAAUCGCCUUAUCGCUCGGUAAAUAAAAACGAGGUCGGUCAUUUUGCCAGCCUCGAUAAUUGACGUGCGUUUGUUUUCCUCCUCUCUCGCUACCAAACACGCUGGAUGAGAGAAGAGGUCUCACUCUGCGCAUUUUUCUCGGCACCUGGGGGCGUUGGCUCUAUAGCGGAAUGAACGGAGUUAGUGAACCCUCCUGUCAGUCAUUCAGUAUCUUUGUCACGGGGGGGGGCGUGCGCACAGGCACACAGACACAGACUUUUGGAUACAGUGCUGCAAGUGAGCGUCGUGAGUGAAAAGCAAGCAAACAGAAUGAACACGACAGCUUUGGUGUCUAAA